UACGUAGGUGGCGAGCGUUGUCCGGAUUUACUGGGUGUAAAGGGCGUGUAGGCGGGCUUUUAAGUCAGAUGUGAAAUGCCGCAGCUCAACUGCGGAACUGCAUUUGAAACUGAAAGUCUUGAGUGUCGGAGAGGAAAGCGGAAUUCCUAGUGUAGCGGUGAAAUGCGUAGAUAUUAGGAAGAACACCGGUGGCGAAGGCGGCUUUCUGGACGAUAACUGACGCUGAGGAGCGAAAGCGUGGGGAGCAAACAGG
rnacentral:rRNA from 1 species